rnacentral:rRNA from 1 species
UGAGGAAUAUUGGUCAAUGGGCGAGAGCCUGAACCAGCCAAGUAGCGUGCAGGAUGACGGCCCUAUGGGUUGUAAACUGCUUUUGUAUGGGGAUAAAGUCAAUCACGUGUGAUUGUUUGCAGGUACCAUACGAAUAAGGACCGGCUAAUUCCGUGCCAGCAGCCGCGGUAAUACGGAAGGUCCGGGCGUUAUCCGGAUUUAUUGGGUUUAAAGGGAGCGUAGGCUGGAGAUUAAGUGUGUUGUGAAAUGGAAAACUCUCAACUUCUGACUUGCAGCGCAUACUGGUUUCCUUGAGUACGCACAACGUUGGCGGAAUUCGUCGUGUAGCGGUGAAAUGCUUAGAUAUGACGAAGAACUCCGAUUGCGAAGGCAGCUGACGGGAGCGCAACUGACGCUGAAGCUCGAAGGUGCGGGUAUCGAACAGGAUUAGAUACCCUGGUAGUCCGCACAGUAAACGAUGGAUGCCCGCUGUUGGUACCUGGUAUCAGCGGCUAAGCGAAAGCAUUAAGCAUCCCACCUGGGGAGUACGCCGGCAACGGUG